rnacentral:lncRNA from 1 species
GCCGGGUCCAAGGGCCUGAGCGCCUGGUUUAGGCCGGAAAUGGUCUAGUUCUCAGAGGUGGUCCGAUCCCUAACCAGUCCCAGGCCCAGCCCCAGCCCAGCACCACCUGGAAGGUUCAAGUACAUGGAGGAGAGGAUAGCGCAGCGAGAAGGAUCGCCAUCACACGGCGCACUGGUGCGGCUUCUCCCCCGAGUGGAUGAACAUGUGCUUGGUGUCGUUUUUCCUUGAGCUGAACGUCUUGCAACAGUGGCCGCACGCAUAGCUGCCCCAGAUCCCGGAAGAAAAUCUCUCCCACACCACUGUAGUCAGAGAGGCCAGUGGGUGCAUGGAACUCCUCGCACGCGCUGUCAGCAGCAGCAGUGAGGAAGCCGGCAGCACAGUCUGGGAAGGAAGGAGGUGCUUGGCUCUCUCCCGGGCCGCCACCUUCGCCGUCCUCGCCAUCGGUCUCAUCGUCAGUUUCCUCGUCAUCGUUGUCACCUCGGUCGUCAGGGGCCGCGGACAGUGAGGGGCACCACCGAAGGCACACGGAUCUCAGAGGGGCCGAGCAGCAGCUUGUCUUGGAAGGAGGGCGAGCCGAUUGCCAGCCCGCAGCGGUGCGCACGCAGCGAAGCUUCAUGAAUGCACACAGUCACGUCGCAGAAGUGCCCACCCAGCUUCUGCCCAUUGAGGGUCUCAAGCAGAGAGCGUGAGAAGUUCUGCAGAUGUAUGUGGCGCACAGCCUCUACAGCCGCCGACUCCGACUCCUCUUCAGGCACCAGGCCUGGCCGUGGCCGCCUUCUCACCGACUCCAAGGCAGCACUUCCGGGCGCUUCUCUUUAUUUUUAUACAGUUUUAUUGAGAUAUAAUUUACAUGCUAUCCAGCCCAUCUAUUUCAAGUGUACCAUGCAAGGGGUUUGUAUAUAUUCACAGAGUUGUGUAUCCAUCACCAUCGUUUUAGAACAUUCAUCACUCCAGAAGAAACUACGUACCCAUCAGCAGCCACUGCCCAUUUCCCUGAUCUGCCCCGCCCUAGGAAAUCCGUAAUCACUUUCAGUCUAUGGAUUUGCCUAUUCUAGACCAUUCAUAUAAAUGAAGUCACACAACACUGGGUCUUAUGUGACUGGCUUCUAUCAAAGUUUGCAAGGUUCAUUUAUGUUCAUGCCAACCAGCCAAGUAACAAAACAAAUAAGCAAACAGCCAACCAAUCAACCAACAAGCAAGCAAGCAACAAACCAACCAAACAAGCAAGCAAGCAAGCAAGCAAGCAACCAACCAACCAAGUAACCGAUCAAACCAACCCUUGGAGCCCUUUCUAAAACUUUGACCUACAACCCUGAAUCCAGAAUCUCUGUUUAGUGGGCCAACAUUAAUAAAUUUAGCCUACUCCAACUUUGUGUUACUUCCACCAUGGUGCCACACACUUAAUAUCCAUUCCCACAUAUAUUCUCCAGAUUUCUUUCUGUAUAAAUUGUGUGUGUGUGUGUGUGUGUGUGUGUGUGUGUAGAAAGAGAGCAUCAACUGAAAAAUCACACAAUUUUAUAAAUUUAGAAAAGAGAGCUUUAUUUCUUAUAAAGGUUUGCAGCCUGCAAGGUGGCCAUUAUGACAGGCUGGGAAGUGUGGCCUACAGCCAAGGCUAGAGGCAGGCCCUUCCAGGGAGGGAAGGAGAGGACAGGAAUUUGAGCUGAAUGAGUUGACUACAUAUACAUACUCAAUAGGAUAUCAGAGGAGCUAUAUCAUUUUAUGAGAAUACUCAUAAAAGAGGUCCUAACACAUGCAUAUUGAAUAAACAUGCAUGUUCAUUCUGGGGUGGAGACUUGACAUUUAAAUGUGUUAUAAUUAGGCCCUACACAUCAAAAAGUGAAGCAGGGAAUGAAGGUACUCAGCCUCUGUAAAGGCACAGCCUCUAAAACUGGCCAGAACCAGUCCAUGGAGGAUGGUCUCUUAUCAGGAGAAAGUUACUGAAAUCAGUCCCUUGUCCAGUGAAAGCUGUCGUUAAGGUCGGUGGGGCAGGAGAUCAGUUACUCAGUGUCUGUGAACUGGGUGAGUUGUAAUUGUUUUAAUCUUGCUUCUCUCAUAGCCAGUGCUUGCUUGGCUGCUAGAGAAAAAUAAAAACUAUGUGGUAGUUAGAAUCUAGUUUAUUCUUUAAGAGUAGGGUACAAGACUUAACCCUUGCCUGGCAUGGCCCUAGGUCCUGUUUAUAAUUUGGGGUCUUAUUGCCACAAAGAGUCUGUUCUGUCAGUCUCAUGAUCUCUAUUUUAACGUUAAUGCUGUUCAGUUGUUGGGUCUAAACCAUAAGAGGGAGAGAGGUACAGGGAGUUAUGUCUGACCUCCUGUCCUGUCAUGGCCAAGAACUGAAUUUUAAGAUUUAUUUGAGGUUCCGUUGGCCAACAGGGGGUCUGUUAAGUCGGGUGGGGGGCUUAGGGUUUCAUUUUUAGUUCUCAAGGGAGAUAAAAUAAUUUAAUCAAUUGGCCCCUGUGACUAUUGGACUAACAUGGCUAUGAUCUGUCAGACAGACUUCAGGCUGGCACCCAGGCAAAAUUCUAUACUGUAGUAAAUGCAUCAUGCACAUUUGUAACAACAUGUACAUAACAAUGUCACAAAAUACUUUCACGGUGACACCUAGAUUAGUGUUUUAUUGAAUAGCUGAUGAUAUAAACUGGCUCAUUUGAUGCCAAGACUGACCAUCACCACCAUACCAAG